rnacentral:rRNA from 1 species
UGGGGAAUUUUGGACAAUGGGGGAACCCUGAUCCAGCCAUCCCGCGUGUGCGAUGAAGGCCUUCGGGUUGUAAAGCACUUUUGGCAGGAAAGAAACGUCGCGGGUUAAUACCCCGCGAAACUGACGGUACCUGCAGAAUAAGCACCGGCUAACUACGUGCCAGCAGCCGCGGUAAUACGUAGGGUGCAAGCGUUAAUCGGAAUUACUGGGGCGUAAAGCGUGCGCAGGCGGUUCGGAAAGAAAGAUGUGAAUCCCAGAGCUUAACUUUGGAACUGCAUUUUUAACUACCGGGCUAGAGUGUGUCAGAGGGAGGUGGAAUUCCGCGUGUAGCAGCGAAAUGCGUAGAUAUGCGGNGGAACACCGAUGGCGAAGGCAGCCUCCUGGGAUAACACUGACGCUCAUGCACGAAAGCGUGGGGGAGCAAACAGGAUUAGAUACCCUGGUAGUCCACGCCCUAAACGAUGUCAACUAGCUGUUGGGGCCUUCGGGCCUUGGUAGCGCAGCUAACGCGUGAAGUUGACCGCCUGGGGGAGUACGGUCGCAAGAUUAAAACUCAAAGGAAUUGAC